rnacentral:rRNA from 1 species
GCAUAUCAAUAAGCGGAGGAAAAAAGAAAACUAACAAGGGAUUCCCCUAGUAACUGCGAGUGAAGCGGGAUGAGCUCAAAUUUAAAAUCUGGCGGUUAUGCCGUCCGAGUUGUAAUCUGGAGAAGCGUUUUCUGUGCUGGACCGUACAUAAGUUCCUUGGAAUAGGACGUCAUAGAGGGUGAGAAUCCCGUCUUUGGUAUGGACUACCAGUACUCUGUGAUACGCUCUCAAAGAGUCGAGUUGUUUGGGAAUGCAGCUCAAAAUGGGUGGUAAAUUCCAUCUAAAGCUAAAUAUAGGCGAGAGACCGAUAGCGAACAAGUACCGUGAGGGAAAGAUGAAAAGCACUUUGGAAAGAGAGUUAAACAGUACGUGAAAUUGUUGAAAGGGAAACGCUUGAAGUCAGUCGCGUUGUCCAGGACUCAGCCUUGGUUCUCCUUGGUGUACUUCCUGGUUAACGGGUCAACAUCAAUUUUGACCGGUGGACAAAGGCUUGGGGAAUGUGGCACCCUCGGGUGUGUUAUAGCCCCUUGUCAUAUACAUUGGUUGGGAUUGAGGACCGCAGCACGCCCUUGUGGCCGGGGUUCGCCCACGUAACGUGCUUAGGAUGUUGGCAUAAUGGCUUUAAGCGACCCGUCUUGAAACACGGACCAAGGAGUCUAACAUGCCUGCGAGUGUUAGGGUGGUAAACCCUUGCGCGAAAUGAAAGUGAAAGUUGGGACCUCUUUGAGGGCACCGACGCCCGGCCCUGAACUCUUGUGACGGUGCUGCGGUAGAGCAUGUAUGUUGGGACCCGAAAGAUGGUGAACUAUGCCUGAAUAGGGCGAAGCCAGAGGAAACUCUGGUGGAGGCUCGUAGCGAUUCUGACGUGCAAAUCGAUCGUCAAAUUUGGGUAUAGGGGCGAAAGACUAAUCGAACCAUCUAGUAGCUGCUCUGCGAG